GGACUACACGGGUAUCUAAUCCUGUUUGCUCCCCUAGCUUUCGUGCCUCAGUGUCAGGUGUUGUCCAGGGACUCGCCUUCGCCACUGGUGUUCCUCUCGAUAUCUACGCAUUUCACUGCUACACCGAGAAUUCCAGUCCCCCCUCCAAACCUCAAGCAAGAUAGUAUUCAAUGCAGUUUCUGAGUUAAGCUCAGAGAUUUCGCAUCAAACUUACCUCGCCACCUACGCACCCUUUACGCCCAGUGAAUCCGAACAACGCUUGGGACCUCUGUAUUACCGCGGCUGCUGGCAC
rnacentral:rRNA from 1 species